GUAUUAAGUUAGUACGAGUGACUUCCAAUCACCCAGUCUUGGUUAAAUUCCAAGGGAAGGUA
rnacentral:tRNA from 1 species